UCAGCGGCUGGAGAAAGCAGGAUGGCAGGGUGGGGGUGGGGGACGUUCAGCCUGGCGAGCUUGCAGGGACUGGUGUCUCCGCUGUGUCUGUUAGCAGCAUCUGGCUGUGACUGGUUUCAUCCACGUCCUCGGAAGGGCGGGACCCACAGGCGGGGGAAAGCCAGGAGCCUUCCCGGAGCCUGGGCCAAGAGAGGCGGUCUACUGAGACAGGAAAGGCCCCGGGCAGCGCGGUCCAAGGGGGGUGGCCUGGGGCGUCUGCGUCCCGCGUGGUUAAAAGCACGCACAGCGCUGCCAGGAAGAGCUUCCGCACCUGGAAGAUCUUCGGAAGACUCUUACUGGGUCAGACCUUCGGGUUAUUUUUAAACCCUGGAUCCGGUUCCAGACAGCACCUGCCCGCAGUCCGCACAGCUCCGGAAGGCUGCGGGCCGCGCCGGCGGGCGACGGGAGGCGAGGGCGCAGCGGCCGGCUCAGGACGCAGUGCGAACCCUGAGCGCCGCCCCGCCCGCCUCGCGGCUCCCGGCCCCUGCUGAACCUUGGUGCUCUAACGAUAAAGACGUGUAGCGCGUCUGGACAGGGCGGUCCGCGCUGGACCCUCGGCGCAGGGCAAGGAGCGCGCCGGGACCCUGCGGAGGCGCGGCCCGCAAGGAGGAGGUUCCUGGGCACGUCUAGACUGACUGAGCAAGGGCCAAGCGACAGUUUAUAAGCCACGGGCUGUGACGGCGGAGAGGCGGGGUGUCCGGGGCAGGCGGCGUGCCGGGACUUGUGGCUAAGAGAGUGGGAAGAGGUGGUGGCAUGAGCGUGACCCGGGAGCUUGGCUAAGAUUUGCAAGAAGGGAGGUGAGGGGGGAAGGACAGCGGAAGGAAUUGCCUGAGCCAGAAAUAGGAGCCAUCAGGGAUCGUGGAUGCCGAGACGCCCUGUACUGCCUGUCAAGGAGUUCGAACCUUCAGUCAUAGCAAACCCAGUCAAAGAAGGUUGGAGCAUGGACAUGGUGCUGGCACCAGCUUGAAGCUGUGCCCCAGGAGUUGUGGACAAGUAAGACAGGGAGAGGCUGAGCUCCUGGGUGACCUGUGAGUGCAGAUGAGCCCUGCACUGCCUACGGAGCUUUAGACUAGCAGUUCUACGAAGGCUCCAUCCUUGAAGAAGCCUUUUCCUGGUGGUCACCAGGUGGCUGUACUGCUCCUGACAUCUACCCCAGCUUCAUGUCCAGGCGGUCUCUUCUGAAACAUGAAUCUUUGUUGUGAAGAGAGCCUUAGCGGUUUAAUCCCAUGUGAGUUCAGAAUUGUUUUGUAGCCUCUAAAUCACCUCCAUAGCAAUCUUGU